rnacentral:rRNA from 1 species
CCCAGGCAGGCGUGCCCUCGGCCAAGAGGCCUCGGGCGCAACUUGCGUUCAAAGACUCGAUGGUUCGCGGGAUUCUGCAAUUCACACCAGGUAUCGCAUUUCGCUACGUUCUUCAUCGAUGCGAGAGCCGAGAUAUCCGUUGCCGAGAGUCGUGUAGAUUAUAUAGCGUUGCAACUUGGGGUGCGGCCAGCAAGCCAGCCRCGUCCCCGCGUUAGGCACAGUGUUCCUUGACGCCUUCGGCGCCGUGGGUUCUUUUACCCCGAGCCC